rnacentral:rRNA from 1 species
CUUGGUCAUUUAGAGGAAGUAAAAGUCGUAACAAGGUCUCCGUUGGUGAACCAGCGGAGGGAUCAUUAAAGAGUUGCAAAACUCCCAAACCAUUGUGAACAUACCUUCAACGUUGCUUCGGCGGGUUGGCCCCGGUCUCCGGGGUCCCCGGCCCUACUCGGGCGCCCGCCGGAGGUAUCUAACUCUUGAACUUUUAUGGCCUCUCUGAGUCUUUGUACUUAAUAAGUCAAAACUUUCAGCAACGGAUCUCUUGGUUCUGGCAUCGAUGAAGAACGCAGCGAAAUGCGAUAAGUAAUGUGAAUUGCAGAAUUCAGUGAAUCAUCGAAUCUUUGAACGCACAUUGCGCCCGCCAGCAUUCUGGCGGGCAUGCCUGUUCGAGCGUCAUUUCAACCAUCAAGCCCCGGGCUUGCGUUGGGGCCCUGCGGAGACGCAGGCCCCUAAAAGCAGUGGCGGGCUCGCUGUCAUCCCGAGCGUAGUAUUGUAUCUUCGCUUUGGGCGUGGCAGCGGGUUCCAGCCGUGAAACCACCUAUUUUUCAAGGUUGACCUCGGAUCAGGUAGGAAUACCCGCUGAACUUAAGCAUAUCAAUAAGCGGAGGA